rnacentral:rRNA from 1 species
UGUUUCGGCAAGGGGGUCAUCCCGACUUACCAACCCGAUGCAAACUGCGAAUACCGGAGAAUGUUAUCACGGGAGACACACGGCGGGUGCUAACGUCCGUCGUGAAGAGGGAAACAACCCAGACCGCCAGCUAAGGUCCCAAAGUCAUGGUUAAGUGGGAAACGAUGUGGGAAGGCCCAGACAGCCAGGAUGUUGGCUUAGAAGCAGCCAUCAUUUAAAGAAAGCGUAAUAGCUCACUGGUCGAGUCGGCCUGCGCGGAAGAUGUAACGGGGCUAAACCAUGCACCGAAGCUGCGGCAGCGACGCUUAUGCGUUGUUGGGUAGGGGAGCGUUCUGUAAGCCUGUGAAGGUGUGCUGUGAGGCAUGCUGGAGGUAUCAGAAGUGCGAAUGCUGACAUAAGUAACGAUAAAGCGGGUGAAAAGCCCGCUCGCCGGAAGACCAAGGGUUCCUGUCCAACGUUAAUCGGGGCAGGGUGAGUCGACCCCUAAGGCGAGGCCGAAAGGCGUAGUCGAUGGGAAACAGGUUAAUAUUCCUGUACUUGGUGUUACUGCGAAGGGGGGACGGAGAAGGCUAUGUUGGCCGGGCGACGGUUGUCCCGGUUUAAGCGUGUAGGCUGGUUUUCCAGGCAAAUCCGGAAAAU